UACGUAGGGUGCGAGCGUUGUCCGGAAUUACUGGGCGUAAAGAGCUCGUAGGUGGUUUGUCGCGUUGUCCGUGAAAACUCACAACUCAAUUGUGGGCGUGCGGGCGAUACGGGCAGACUGGAGUACUGCAGGGGAGACUGGAAUUCCUGGUGUAGCGGUGGAAUGCGCAGAUAUCAGGAGGAACACCGGUGGCGAAGGCGGGUCUCUGGGCAGUAACUGACGCUGAGGAGCGAAAGCAUGGGGAUCAAACAGG
rnacentral:rRNA from 1 species